rnacentral:lncRNA from 1 species
GUUUCAGCCUACAAGAACCAGUGUAUCAAAUUUGUGUACCUAGUAUUUGGAAAGCAAAGAGAAGAAGAGGAAGAUCAGUGCAGAAAAACAGCAGUAGCAUACACAGUAACACAGCAGUACAACAACAACCAGUAGACCAGUAGCCAACAAUAACAGUAGCAGAAAUACCAGGAGCAGAUUGAAAACAAGAGAAUAACCCCAGCAACUCAAUAGAACAGAGCUUGAAAAACCAGCAGAAAUCCCAGGAAAUUCCAAAUUCAAACCAAACAAUACCACAAAGCAAUUACAGUCAAAACAGAAGAUAGGCAGGUGUAAGAAAAUUGUCUUUCUGAUCAUGAACCCCCAAAGAAGAAAGCAAACUCAAGCUCUUUACCGUAAGCUUAGCCCUUAAACAUUUACUUUAUUCCUCACUUAGUA